rnacentral:rRNA from 1 species
AGAACGAACGCUGGCGGCAUGCCUAACACAUGCAAGUCGAACGCUUCCGGGGCUUCGGUCGCGGAGGAGUGGCGCACGGGUGAGUAGCGCGUGGGAACCUGCCCUGUUGUGGGGGAUAACCGAGGGAAACUUCGGCUAAUACCGCAUACGCCCCGGGACUUGGUCUUCGGAUUAGGUCUGGGGGGAAAGAUUGAUCGCAGCAGGAGGGGCCCGCGUCGGAUUAGCUGGUUGGUGGGGUAACGGCUCACCAAGGCGAUGAUCCGUAGCUGGUCUGAGAGGAUGAUCAGCCACACUGGGACUGAGACACGGCCCAGACUCCUACGGGAGGCAGCAGUGGGGAAUAUUGGACAAUGGGGGCAACCCUGAUCCAGCAAUGCCGCGUGAGUGAUGAAGGCCUUAGGUUGUAAAGCUCUUUCGCCCGCGACGAUGAUGACGGUAGCGGGAGAAGAGCCUGGCUAACGUUCGCGCCAGCAGCCGCGGU